GCCAGCAGCCGCGGUAAUACGGAAGGUCCAAGCGUUAAUCGGAAUUACUGGGCGUAAAGCGCGCGUAGGUGGUUUAUUAAGUUGGAUGUGAAAUCCCCGGGCUCAACCUGGGAACUGCAUCCAAAACUGAUUCACUAGAGUACGAUAGAGGGAGGUAGAAUUCACAGUGUAGCGGUGGAAUGCGUAGAUAUUGUGAAGAAUACCAAUGGCGAAGGCAGCCUCCUGGAUCUGUACUGACACUGAGGUGCGAAAGCGUGGGUAGCGAACAGGAUUAGAUACCCUGGUAGUCCACGCCGUAAACGAUGUCAACUAGCUGUUGGAAAACUAUGUUUUUCAGUGGCGCAGCUAACGUAGUAAGUUGACCGCCUGGGGAGUACGGCCGCAAGGCUAAAACUCAAAUGAAUUGACGGGGACCCGCACAAGCGGUGGAGCAUGUGGUUUAAUUCGAUGCAACGCGAAAAACCUUACCUAUACUUGACAUACUUGGAAUGCUUUGUAAUGAAGCAGUGCCUUCGGGAGCUAAGAUACAGGUGCUGCAUGGCUGUCGUCAGCUCGUGUCGUGAGAUGUUCCGUUAAGUCGGAUAACGAGCGCAACCCUUACCCUUAUUUGCCAGCGAUUCGGUCGGGAACUAUAAGGGGACUGCCGGUGAUAAACCGGAGGAAGGUGAGGACGACGUCAAGUCAUCUUGGCCUUUACGUAUAGGGCUAC
rnacentral:rRNA from 1 species